UCCCUCUGGUGCUUUUGCAAGCCACUUGCACUAAGCACUGGUGAGGAAAGGCUUACUGCUUACCCCUCAAUCAGGGGACAUCAACAGGUAUCUGGCUGCUUGCAGAGCUCAGGCAGAGGCUCAGCUGCAGCACGUUUUUCCAUUACUGAAGGACUUUAGGUUACAGAUAGGUUGAACAGAAGCAAACCAGCUGAGAUGGAGCUGGGAACUGCUCCUGCCUUGCUCAGACAGGCUCUCCCCCCUGAAGCUAAGACUUUUGGUUGGAAGGGACCAGGUGGUUUCUACAGCCCAGACGCUGCCCUGAGCUGAGAACAGAGGGGACUUGUCUCCUGUUUAGGGGCUUGCUUCACCUGCCCAAUGCCCUGUCGUACUGGUGGGUGGGUAAGGGGUCAGUCUGGAGAAGUGGGAUAGGAGAAAGCUUGCACAGAAGAGACCCCCCGCCUGAUCCAGAGCCUAGGAGCAAUGGGUGAGAUCCUUCGAGGCAGUGCACUGGCUGGGAAGCAGUGGGUGCCCACGGGGGGGGGACUUGCACCCCAGAUUCUGCUGUAGACUGCAGCGAUGAUGUUUGGCCCUUCAUUGGCGGGUGCAGUGUUGCAAUCUUAAAGCCUCCCAACAGGAACUGCUAGGCAGCAGGUGCCAGGGCUCUGCCUCCGAGCCUUGAAGGGCCAUCCCGCCACGUGACCGUCUGUGUGGUCUUCCGGUCAACAGAGGGCUUGACAGAAGAUUUUAGGCAUGGAGGAAAACUAUUGGAGAAGAAAGGCCUGUAAAUCAGAGCUACAAAGCUAGUGCGUGGAGCGGGAAGCUGGCAUGCUUAUUUAUUUGUGCUGUACAUCAGGGCCUAAUGGAUUUGUGUCAGAGCUGAGUCGAUAUAUUCCAGUUUGGAGACUCUCCACUGAGGCCAACUGAAGCAUUCGUUAUUCUUUGGCCCAUUAAAGCGGGUGAUAUACAGAGAGGAUGAAUAAAUAUCUCCUUGCAUUAAAGUCACACAGGAAAUUG